rnacentral:rRNA from 1 species
AUGACGUCAAGUCCUCAUGGCCCUUAUAGUGGGGCUACACACGUCAUACAAUGGCCGGUACAGAGGGUAGCCAACCCGCGAGGGGAGCCAAUCCCACAAAGCCGGUCGUAGUCCGGAUCGCAGUCUGCAACUCGACUGCGUGAAGUCGGAAUCGCUAGUAAUCGCGGAUCAGCAUGUCGCGGUGAAUACGUUCCCGGGUCUU